CUAUAAAGUUGUGUGAAAGUUUCAAAUAAACGAGAGCUAGAGCAGAUUACAGACUUGCUCUCCUUCUUUGUGUCUCGUCCCAUCCCAUUCUAUUCGCCCCUCCUUUGGAACCCGUUGAACUCCCACUGGAUCGGGCAGCAAGCUACUUCAAACCACAAGGCGAAGUCUUACCAGUGAAUUGUGAUGGAAACAAAGAUUUGGAGCUAAGUGAGAUUUGAGCAGGACUGUCUCUGAGGGGGAGGGGAGCCAGAUGGCAGGAGGUUCCUCCCCCAGACCAAUCAACAUGUCCUCAGCAUUUUGCCCCCUUCAGCCACAGCUUGUUCCCAGCUUCUUCCACGAAUCAUGAGCAAUCCCAAGACGGGCAGAAAGGGAGCUCUGGACCACCAAGAACUAACCCUUCUGACAGAGAGCUGCUCUUCAGGUCUCAAAAGCAGGCAGUCCCCAGGACGCACAGGCAUCCUGGUGCAU